CUUCAUCUUUGAAGAGGGAAAAAAUAAAUCCCACCUUCUCUCUUUCAGAUGGAAACCGGUUAGGUAACAUCAUGAAAUGCAAACGGCAUUGAUUUAGGAAACCCCUGAAUUUUUUGCGGUCUCCUCCAAAUUUUUCUGGUAGAGGCAAGCAGGUGUAACAGUAGUAGUAGCAGCAGCCGCAACAUCAUGUGCCCUGUAGCUGGUAAGCUCACUAUGCAUUGAUCGAACUUCAUUUUGCAGUUCAGCUACCUGAUCCUGCAGCACUUGAAUGGUCUGUGCCUGGGUCUGCAUAGUUCUUGCAUUAAAAGCAACCUGCUGGGCCAAUGCAGAAUCUGAUCCGACGGUCUCCAUGAAUGGGCC